AACGGUCAUAUCACGUUGAAACACCAGUUCUCGGAAGAUCACCGAAGUUAAGCAACGUCGAGCCAGCUUAGUAUCUUGAUAGGUGACCGCUUGUGAAUACC